rnacentral:misc_RNA from 1 species
GGGGGUUGAGGCUUUUUCAUUAGUUCUU